rnacentral:rRNA from 1 species
AUUGAACGCUGGCGGCAGGCCUAACACAUGCAAGUCGAACGGUAACGCGGGGCAACCUGGCGACGAGUGGCGAACGGGUGAGUAAUGUAUCGGAACGUGCCCAGUUGUGGGGGAUAACUGCUCGAAAGAGCAGCUAAUACCGCAUACGACCUGAGGGUGAAAGCGGGGGAUCGCAAGACCUCGCGCAAUUGGAGCGGCCGAUAUCAGAUUAGGUAGUUGGUGGGGUAAAGGCUCACCAAGCCAACGAUCUGUAGCUGGUCUGAGAGGACGACCAGCCACACUGGGACUGAGACACGGCCCAGACUCCUACGGGAGGCAGCAGUGGGGAAUUUUGGACAAUGGACGCAAGUCUGAUCCAGCCAUGCCGCGUGCGGGAAGAAGGCCUUCGGGUUGUAAACCGCUUUUGUCAGGGAAGAAACGCUCUGGGUUAAUACCUCGGGGUAAUGACGGUACCUGAAGAAUAAGCACCGGCUAACUACGUGCCAGCCGCCGCCGUAAUAC